rnacentral:rRNA from 1 species
AACGUAGGUUCCGAGCGUUAUCCGGAUUUACUGGGCGUAAAGCGCACGUAGGCGGCUUUGUAAGUUAGAGGUGAAAGCCCGGAGCUCAACUCCGGAACUGCCUUUAAGACUGCAUCGCUUGAAUCCAGGAGAGGUGAGUGGAAUUCCGAGUGUAGAGGUGAAAUCCGUAGAUAUUCGGAAGAACACCAGUGGCGAAGGCGGCUCACUGGACUGGUAUUGACGCUGAGGUGCGAAAGCGUGGGGAGCAAACAGG